UAAGGAAUAUUGGACAAUGGGGGAAACCCUGAUCCAGCCAUGCCGCGUGAAUGAAGAAGGCCUUAGGGUUGUAAAGUUCUUUUAGGGAUGACGAUAAUGACGGUAGUCCCAGAAAAAGCUCCGGCUAACUCCGUGCCAGCAGCCGCGGUAAUACGGAGGGAGCGAGCGUUGUUCGGAAUUACUGGGCGUAAAGCGUGCGCAGGCGGAUUUCCAAGUCAGGAGUGAAAUCCCAGGGCUCAACCCUGGAAUUGCUCUUGAAACUGGAUGUCUUGAGUCUCGGAGAGGUUGGCGGAAUUCCCAGUGUAGCAGUGAAAUGCGUAGAUAUUGGGAGGAACACCAGUGGCGUAAGCGGCCAACUGGACGAGUACUGACGCUCAUGCACGAAAGUGUGGGGAUCAAACAG
rnacentral:rRNA from 1 species